rnacentral:rRNA from 1 species
CUCCACCGGAAAAAGAGGAGUGGCGAACGGGUGAGUAACACGUGGGUAACCUGCCCAUCAGAAGGGGAUACACUUGGAAACAGGUGCUAAUACCGUAUAACAAUCAAAACCGCAUGGUUUUGAUUUGAAAGGCGCUUUCGGGUGUCGCUGAUGGAUGGACCCGCGGUGCAUUAGCUAGUUGGUGAGGUAACGGCUCACCAAGGCCACGAUGCAUAGCCGACCUGAGAGGGUGAUCGGCCACAUUGGGACUGAGACACGGCAAACUCCUACGGGAGGCAGCAGUAGGGAAUCUUCGGCAAUGGACGAAAGUCUGACCGAGCAACGCCGCGUGAGUGAAGAAGGUUUUCG